GCCGACGCGAGCUGCCGCGGCUGCCAACAAUGUGGGGCCGAGCGUGUUGCCAGGUCCCGUGUGAUAGGAGGUCGUCUCCUUAUCGCAGCAGACGAGGUCUUGACGUGGUGUGGAGAGCCACCUUAUGGCGGCGGUAGUGAUAUAACCCUCUCGCCUUUGUCCACACGCCGACUACCGGAGCGAGCCGCACUGAAGGCUGCCUCCACUCUUCUCUGGAACUUCUUGUCAGCUAAGGAGUGUCGGUGAUGGCACGGCUGUCGCCGCGGCGCGGGCUGGUCCUGCUGGCGGCGGCCUCCCUGGCCGUGCUGGUGUGUCUGCAGCAGAGGGAGCUGCCCUGGAGGCCCGCCGACGCCCCCGACGCCGCCCACGCGCCGCCGCCGCGGCAGGUCAGUGCCACAC